GUCUAACAGAGGUAUGACAUCACAAAAACGCCACACGGGUUAAUGCUGCAUGAAUUGCAAAACUCCCUUUCAACUAAAGUACAAAUGUAAAAAAAAUAGAUAAAAAACAUGAGACAAAAAUAGAAGACAAAUAAGAUCGAAGACAAACCCAGAGAACACAUAUUAGUUAAAAAGGUCUAUAAAAAUACUACUAUAGCUACUGUAGAAAGAGCAGCCCUGCAGGCCUCCGAGGUUUCUCUCCAGAGGUUUGUCUUCAGAGGUUUCUCUUCAGAGGUUUCCCUCCAGAGGUUUCUCUCCAGAGGUUUCUCUCCAGAGGUUUCUCUCCAGAGGUUUCUCUCCAGAGGUUUCUCUUCAGAGGUUUGUCUUCAGAGGUUUCUCUCCAGAGGUUUCUCUCCAGAGGUUUCUCUCCAGAGGUUUCUCUUCAGAGGUUUCCCUCCAGAGGUUUCUCUUCAGAGGUUUCCCUCCAGAGGUUUCUCUUCAGAGGUUUCCCUCCAGAGGUUUCUCUCCAGAGGUUUCUCUUCAGAGGUUUCUCUUCAGAGGUUUCCCUCCAGAGGUUUCUCUCCAGAGGUUUCUCUUCAGAGGUUUCUCUCCAGAGGUUUCUCUCCAGAGGUUUCCCUCCAGAGUUUUCUCUCCAGAGGUUUCUCUUCAAGAGGUUUCUCUCCAGAGGUUUCUCUGGACCGGGUCCUGGAGAUGGAGGCAGUGUGUGAGGCCGCCCGUCCCGUACUAACAAACAGACAGCCCUCAGAGAGCCAGGCAAGGGGGGGUUAGACCAGGGAUGGGAUGGGGUUGGGGCUGGGGGUACGGCUUGGGGG
rnacentral:lncRNA from 1 species